rnacentral:rRNA from 1 species
UACGUAGGGGGCAAGCGUUAUCCGGAUUUACUGGGUGUAAAGGGAGCGUAGACGGCAGCAUAAGUCUGAAGUGAAAUGCCGGGGCUUAACCCCGGAACUGCUUUGGAAACUGUGCAGCUAGAGUGCAGGAGAGGUAAGUGGAAUUCCUAGUGUAGCGGUGAAAUGCGUAGAUAUUAGGAGGAACACCAGUGGCGAAGGCGGCUUGCUGGACUGUAACUGACGUUGAGGCUCGAAAGCGUGGGGAGCAAACA